AGCAGCCAUUAACAAGAGAGAAGCCAGCCAUCUUCUCCAGACCCAUCACCUAUACACAAACCAGCCGCCUCCGCCAGUCACUCGACUCACCGGAAAAACAUCAGCAGCCCACCAUCGCCGCCGGCGUUAUCUGAAAAAAAAAUACAUGAAAGCUUAAGAGGAACAGGAGAAUGAACAAGAACCAAAGGAGAACGGAAAUGAGCAACAAAUUUCACUGCUUCAUCUCACAUUUUCUGGACGUUUACAAACAUAGAUGAAGCUGCCAUUUCUAUAUUAGAUCCAAGGCUAAGAUAACGUUUUUGGUAUAACAUGUUACAAAUCUCACAUAUAAAAAAGGAAUUUGUUCAAAAACAAGAAAAUCUGGACCAAAAAGAACUAAAGAAAAAUCAAACUUGAGAUGCAUAAUGAAAUCUAGGCUGUCUCUUUUGGUUUUGGUUUCCGAAUGGAGUGGAGGUGAAACGGGUAGUUGAUCGUUCGAGUUGCCGCUCGAGGUUGCCGUUUGUAGUUUCUGCCGAAGUUUCUAUUGUUGUGCUUGUUUUUCGAUCGAGUUCAAUCAUCGGAAUCCUCAGUAAGUUGGAAUCGUCGGAGAUUCAAAUACGUUUGAAAAUGAUUCAGACUUUGUUGGUGAGAGCAGAUCAAGCAUUUUCGAUGCCAAUGCUGGAAUUGCCUUGAGCAAGAACUUUGUGAAACUUGUGUUGUGGUAUGACAAUGAAAGGGGUUACAGCCCUCGUGUGAUUGAUUUGAUCUGCCAUAUGGCUUCUGUUGCUUAAGGAUUUGAUGCUGGUGAAAUGCCCUUUUAGUUCUUGAUUGAAUCAUAGGAGUAUUAGUUUUCUAUGGCCGGGAGUGAUCUUCUUGCUUAAUUCUAAUGGAAUAACCAGAGAGGAACUACUGUGUUGGCUAAAGAUAUGAAGUGCUAGAGAAUAUUUGAAGUUAGUUGUGAGGUAUAUGAAAAUUUCUACGUUGUUUAUAUAGCGAGUGAAUCUAGAGGUCAUGUAAUUACUAUUCGUAUUAUUUAAUUUGGAGAUGGGAACUCCACCAGAAGAGGCAAGAAUAAGUGGAAUUGCCAUAUCAAACAAAUAAAUGAUGGAGUUGAAAGAAAUUUAUGUCUCAUUAUAUGAUUUGGAAAAUAUAUAAUUAGAAUUCAAUCCCACAUCGGUGUCAGUGGAAUUUAUGAUAUAACAAAAGUCAACUAAUAGCAGUUGAAUUACUGUAUUACAUGA